rnacentral:rRNA from 1 species
UACGGAGGGAGCUAGCGUUGUUCGGAAUUACUGGGCGUAAAGCGCGCGUAGGCGGCGAAUCAAGUCAGGGGUGAAAUCCCGGGGCUCAACCCCGGAACUGCCCUUGAAACUAGCACGCUAGAAUCUUGGAGAGGUCAGUGGAAUUCCGAGUGUAGAGGUGAAAUUCGUAGAUAUUCGGAAGAACACCAGUGGCGAAGGCGACUGACUGGACAAGUAUUGACGCUGAGGUGCGAAAGCGUGGGGAGCAAACAGG